rnacentral:rRNA from 1 species
AUACGGAGGGUGCAAGCGUUAUCCGGAAUCAUUGGGUUUAAAGGGUCCGCAGGCGGAUUAAUAAGUCAGUGGUGAAAUCCUCUCGCUCAACGAGAGAACUGCCAUUGAAACUGUUAGUCUUGAAUUCGGUCGAAGUAGGCGGAAUGUGUCAUGUAGCGGUGAAAUGCAUAGAUAUGACACAGAACACCGAUAGCGAAGGCAGCUUACUAGACCGGGAUUGACGCUCAUGGACGAAAGCGUGGGGAGCGAACAGGAUUAGAAACCCUAGUAGUCC